CAAUGUCCCGGCGGGGAGCGCGGCCGGCCCGCCUUCGGCAGCUGUCGGCCCGCCGCCCGGCGGGGACCGCGAGGGUGGCAGCCUCGGAGCGCAGGCCAGACCCCAGCCACUUCGGGCUUGGGACUGUGGGGGCCCCCUUUAAAGAACCCCUGCCCUCUCCGCCACCAGAAGCAGAGUGAAACGAGCACCUUUGGGACAGAGGGACCCAUUGGACCCUUUUCUGAUAUCCUUGGUGAACUCGGAGUGGCGGGGGCGAGGAGGGGGGGAGGUGGCAUCAGCUUUAGUCUCUCAAAGAGGAGUCCCCCAUAGAGGCCUCUCUUUUCCCUUCUCCAUCACUGUGACGGUGGGAGUUUCGGUUACCCUUCAGUGAAGAGGGCUCCCUGGCCUUGCCGCCACAUAACCUCAAGAUAGUUGCAUCCAGAAUAGGUAAGAAAAUUGGGGGGAAGCAUGGGGACAAAGAAUAACUCCUGUCAGUACUAAAGGAACAAGGGUUGAGGGUUUAGAGAGUUACUAGACCCCCGUUCGAUCACUAGUCAGAUUUGUUCAUUGGUUUAUUCCUUCUACAAAUGUGUAUUAAAUUUGCUGUGAGUCAGGCACUGUUCUAGGCACUGUGGAAACAUCAGUGAAUAAAACAGAACUCCCCUCCCUCAAAAAAAAAAAAAAAAUACUUGCCUUGAACAACAGUACAUUCUAAAUAGCCAAAUGCAAGUUCCAGGGUCAAUUCAUUUAGUAUAAAUCUCAUGUAUUACUGUGUCAAAUAAGGAUUAAAAAAUGUUAGCCCUACCCCUCUGGCUUGUUUAAUAUGAGGAUAUAAUUAGAUAAUGAAUAAGAGUCUGUGAAGAAUAUGAAGAAUGAUAUAAGAAUAAUGAAUUAGCACAGAAAACGUUGACCUCGAAAUGUCAAUGACCAUUUAAAAGAAUUACCUCUUAAAUACUUUUGAAAGAAAUAUGACCAACUGAGAAAACAGAUAAUUCUUUACCGUGGAAUCUUCAUAAUCAUAGAACAGCUUUUCAUUGUAAGUAAAAAAGGUCCUAUUAGUUCUGUGCAAGAAAAACAUCCCAAGGUGAAAUUGAUUGAUCCAUUAACAGUGUUCCAUAGCUGGAGUAAAUUCCACUUGGUCAUGGUGUAUAAUUAUUUUUAUACAUUGUGGAUUUAAUUUCCUAAGAUUUUACUGAAGAAUUUUGCAUCUGUGUUCAUGAAAGAGUGGUAUUCAGUUAACAGAACAACAAUUAUUUGUAUAAGCUGCAUCAGAGACAACUGAAGAUGAAAAAACUACCGUCCCCGUAUAUAACUAAUUUGUGCUAUGCACCAACAAGAACCUGCUUUAAAUUUCCAUGCCAAUUUACAACCGCCAUACUUUACCAGGCAAGGUGUGUAAUGUUGGACAAGAUACACAAACUCUCUUAUCUAAAGUAGGAUAAUGCCUGUCAAUGUUCUCCUGAAAGAACUGGUGCCAGGAUUAAUUAUUUCAGGCUGCUAUCCCAAGGCUGGAAUGUUCUGAAAUGCUUAGCCUUUCACCUAUUAUGGAUGGCUUUUGUAAAUUUUAUCCCAGUCACCUACAUGCAGUCUACAUUGUUUCUUUUGAUUGAACUUAGCUCAGCUAAGGGCAUAAGGUCAUGCAUCUAUUUUUUUUUCCCUUAUUCCUAUCUUCAGUGUGUAGUUAAAGUUUUAUCAUGCAUGUAUUAAUAUAUUUCUACAACUGAGGUAUCUUCUUUGUCCCAAAUAUAAGUGACUAAAAAGCUCUCCAACUGGAUAUGCCUUUUGACCAGCAAUUCCACCUACACCAGGAGUACAUAAAAAAUAAAAAUUCUAUUUUGUGAUAAGAUUGUUGAUUGUAGCUUUGGUAAUAAUGACAAACUUUGGAAGCAGUGUUGGAGGUGAAUUGGUAAAAUAAAUUUGAGUAUAGUAUUAUAAUGAGAUAAAUAUGCAGUCAUUAAAAUGAUAAAAAUAAUUUGAUAAGCAUUAGUAUGUGCUAGGCACUAUGCUAAGUUCUUUACAUGUAAUCUCAUUAGUUUGUACAUCAGUGCUAUGAGAGAGAUAUUACUUUUAUCAUCCCAUUAUUUGUAUAAGGCAAUUAAAUCUUUGAGGAGUUGAGUAAGCAAAAGCACACAAAUAGUAAGUAGCAGAAUUUAAUUCCAGAAUUUCUGACUUCAGAGUUCAGGGUCUUGGCCCAUAGUCUGUCUUGAAUUUGUAAUGGAGAGGAAAAUAUUCAUGAUAUAUAAGAUUAAUUACAUGCAAUAAAAAGCAAUAAAAUGGG